rnacentral:rRNA from 1 species
AGAGUUUGAUCCUGGCUCAGGACGAACGCUGACGGUGUGCUUUAGGCAUGCAAGUCGAACGAGAAAGCCCUUCGGGGUGAGUAGAGUGGCGAACGGGUGAGUAACACGUGGGCAACCUGCCCCUCGCAGGGGGAUAACCGGAGGAAACUCCGGCUAAUACCCCGUAAGCUUUCAGGGUCGCAUGGCUCUGUAAGGAAAGGUAGCUUCGGCCAUCCGGCGAGGGAUGGGCCCGCGGUACAUUAGCUAGUUGGUGAGGUAACGGCUCACCAAGGCGACGAUGUAUAGCUGGUCUGAGAGGAUGAUCAGCCACACUGGGACUGAGACACGGCCCAGACUCCUACGGGAGGCAGCAGUGGGGAAUCUUGCGCAAUGCGCGAAAGCGUGACGCAGCAACGCCGCGUGGAGGAAGACGGUCUUCGGAUUGUAAACUCCUUUCAGUUGGGACGAAGCUCAACGGGUUAAUAGCCCGGUGGAGUGACGGUACCUUCAGAAGAAGCCCCGGCUAACUACGUGCCAGCAGCGGCGGUAAUAC